GUAAAACAGACAGUCUGUUAACUAAAUGCACUUCAUAUACCGUUCACGGCAAUAAGAAAACCUCAGCUGGCUACAUAAAAAAAAAAACUUCGUGGCAGUUCCAAAUUUGCGAACACAUUCCGAUAGUGAAAGUUUUGUUGAACUUUCCACGUUAGAUUAGAUUUGGAUAGUUUACGAUAUUUUUUUUUCAACUGAAAAUGCCAGCGCUGUCUAUUUAUUUGGAGUUUCAUUCAAUACAUCAAAGGCCUUGAGGUAGGCCGAUAAGCUCCUUCAACGUCGUAAUUAUGGUCGAGACUUGUGUGCAGCGUGUCGUGCCCCCACAGACAGCAACAUACCACGCGCAGGAAGGGAAAAAUAUCGAAAACGCGCAUUACCUCGGGUUCUUUUGAGCGAGAAGAUAAGGGAAGACCAAUGAUUGGAUGGACUGUAAUAACUGAAGAUAAUGCCAGAGGGGCCUUUAACUGACUACAGGAAGCCUUCAAUCUUUGGCCCCAAAUAUCCGGUGGGGAAGACAACCAUUGUCACAAAAUGGACCAAAGGACAUGACCUUACAAGUGCACUCCAGGAGACGCAGUGCGGUUGGUCAUCUCUAUGUCGUCGUGAGAGUAACGGCCCGAGUCGCCUGUCUCGUGGCUGCCGUCGCUGUUGGAGGAGC